rnacentral:rRNA from 1 species
UACGUAGGGGGCGAGCGUUGUUCGGAGUUACUGGGCGUAAAGCGCACGCAGGCGGUCUGCUAAGUUUGGAGUGACAGUUGGUGGCUUAACUGCCAAAGUGCUUCGAAAACUGACAGACUUGAGUGCUUCAGAGGGACACGGAAUUCCGGGUGGAGUGGUGAAAUGCGUAGAGAUCCGGAGGAACACCAAAGGCGAAGGCAGUGUCCUGGGGAGUACCUGACGCUCAGGUGCGAAAGCCAGGGGAGCGAACGGG